GGAUUUAUAAUGAGAGAUUUUCUAGUUGUUUUUGGUUCUCCUCCUCCUCCUCCUCCUUUUCCUCCUUCUCUUCCUUCUUUUCUUCCUCCUUUUCUUCUAAAACCUCUAAUCUCUUAUUCCCUCUAAUGUCUGACCAAAGUACUGCUGUCUGAGACAUUGGAGGCAUACUGUGCUCCUCUUCUUCCCUCCCUGUGGAGAAGCCUUAAGUUACAUGCCUUCAUCCAGUCUUGCAGAGUUGUGUCUAAUGCAGCAAGAUGCCUGCCUGUUUUCUUUGUUCCUAGCUGUCUCCAGGCAUCCAAACUAUGCCUGUUCCAUCAGUACUAAGGGUGAGGGAGAUGUUACAAGACAAGAUGAUUUCACUGGAAGCUGAGUUUUGCCAGCUUUGGGGAAAUGCUGAUGCAGAACAUCAUUUAUUUAAGGCUGAUACUCAUGGAUAGAAGAGUCAAAGUGCGAAUAUAUGCACCCUUCUAUACGGAUUCUGCAGAAAGAUAUGCUUGGGUCAUGACUCAGGGUAUAUUUCUUCCUCUUAAAGUGUACCUUCCCUGGAGCUUCAGCCUAAUGCCUGAGGUCCUCAGUGAGGUCCCUCCAUUCUUCCUAUCUAAGCUGAAACUUCAACAUCUUCAGGAGUGUGUGACACCUGGUAUGUCUGCUCAGUUCUGAGCUCUGUAGUGACUCCACUGUUGUGUUUUGGAAAACUUGUCAUGUGCACAUGAAUAAUUUAAUCUUAGAUUAUUAAAUUAUUGACUUUAAUACCGCAUGCUUAACUAAGAUAAUUAACAUCAGAAUAUCAUCUAAGAUUUGUCUUCUUAAAAAUCAAGUUUUACCAGAAUCUUAAUAUGAAUUAUAAAAUUAAUGAUUUUAUUGGGACAGUUUUAGAGAUCUGAUACUUAUUUGUAAUUUGCAAAUAUUCUAAGAUGUUGGUCAUUAGAGAACAUAUAUGAAUAAGUGCAUGUGGUAGUUAGGAGAGUGGAAAUGAAUACAAACUAUUAAUGGGUUGUUGCAGAAUAUUCUGACCUUACUGAAUAAACACACAAUACAUAUGCGCACACAUUCAUAGAAUCAGAAAGUCAUGAAAAGGCUGAAUGUAAAACAAAGAGCAUGAGAGACCCAUGUUCUUAAAUUCUAUUAGUACUAAAACUUCCAGUUAACAUUGUAGAAACAUAUAUAUUAGAGAAUUAUGAAUAAACACAGUCCUUGACGUAUGCACAAUCUGAGUUGAUCAAAGGACACUGGCAGAAACAUUAAAAAACUGUGUAAGAUAUUUCACUGCAAUUUUAUAAAUUUCUUCAGUAUAGUAGUAGUGUUUUCCUACUCAUUACAGGAUCUGGGGCCAUCUGCUUUUAAAAUAAUACCUUGCACAUAAUGGGAGAUCUUUACAUAAAGUUUGAAUAAAUUAAGGAAGAAUUAAUUAGCAAGUCCAUUCCUGCUAUGUCAUUUAAGCAAUUUUUUAUUCAUCAAAACAUACUACUUCAAGCUAAUAUUAAAUGGUUUAUAUUCAUGAAACCAUGGGCUAUUACUUAAUUCCUAGAAUUUACCUGCAAAAAAUCAUUGAUUUAUACACUAUACAAGGUAAUAUUCUGGUUCAUUCUCUGGAACAAAUUGCAACUUAAUUGAAAAUAGUAUGAAAGCUAGUAAGUAUAAUUCAAGUGAAAAGCCUUAAAUUCCAUAAGAAUUAAGAACCUUUGGUAAUUAAUAUACCAAACUUUUGGUAUUUGAAAGUGAAAAGAUGUAUUCCUUUAAGAAAAAUAAUAAAGUUGUCAAGAUGAGGAAGAAUUAAACGUACGUAAUAUUGGGCCCUAAUAGAUGAGUGAUGAUAACAGAAAGUAACGUCAAUCAAGACAACAGAACAGUAUGGGGUGUUUUCAGGGAGUAUUAUUUAAUCAACCUGGCGUUCUAAUGAUAGUGACUAUGAAUUAGCAACCUUACUUUGCCCUAAUGUGAGUGGCUUAUUAGAAGAGGCUCAGGUCAGAAGUGGGAUACUAGUGAGCAAGCUGCUGCUAGAGGUAAUGAGGCAAGAAACAGGAUUUUAACAACAUUAGAGAUCUCGUUAAUUCAAACUAAUGGAAAAAAUUGCAGUAACAUAAAAUGUAAAUCUCUCCAACUUUUAAAUUUAUAAUUGGCAGAGAAGGAGAAGCUAUUGAAGAUCUUGAUGCUUUGAAACUGUAUGAGAGGUGUUGUUAUCAAAAGAACUAGCUAGGAGAAAAAAGAAAAUAUACGUUGAUGGUAGCUGUUGGAUUUAGUUCUGGUUUAAAGUAUUUAGACAUGAAUCUGAUCCUGGAUUUCAAAAGGACCUUUAUUGAAAAUGUCAAGUGACAAGAGAUAUUAAGAUGCAUAAGAUUGAACACUACAGCAUCUUCUUUCAAUAAUUUGAUUUACUCACCCUUAUUUAAAGAAUUGAAUCUUUCUGUUCUCAAGCCUCCUUUUCACCAAUUAAUUUGAUUCAGGACAAAAAGUGGUGUUUGAUAUUUUCAACUUUAAAAUAAGUCAAUUUUCCUGCACGCUUAAAUAUUCUGUUAUCUUGAAUUCUAAUGAAGGACCUAUAACUAUGUAUUUAAUAUUUGGUAAAUUUAUACAGAUGUAACAUAUUAUUGAAAUAAGAUUGUAUAAACUAAACAAGAAAAUAGACUGAAAAUAUUGUCUCAAAAAGAACAAUUCUUGCUAUGCUUUUCUUGUAUUUAUAUUUUAUUCAUGUAAGCUGUUUUCUAUCCUGGAAAUAUCAUCCUCCUACUCUCCACCUUCUUUUCACCCUUCACUCUUGUCUUUCAAUGCUCAGCUAAAAUUAAACUCCUCAAACAGGCUUUCAAAGCUCAGUGUAGAAUCAUCUGUUAUUUCCUGCUUCCUCAGUAUUAACUUUUUAUAUAUUAUAUGUCUUGUUAUAUGUAUAAAUGUUUAUUUCCUAAAUCACCAGUACACUGUAAACUCUAUGAAGUUAGAAAUGUAAAAUCAACACCUAAUUUG
rnacentral:lncRNA from 1 species